GACGAACGCGGCGGCGUGCCUAAUACAUGCAAGUAGGACGCACAGUUUAUACCGUAGCUUGCUACACCAUAGACUAUGAGUUGCGAACGGGUGAGUAACGCGUAGGUAACCUGCCUAUUAGAGGGGGAUAACUAUUGGAAACGAUAGCUAAUACCGCAUAACAGUAUGUAACACAUGUUAGGUGCUUGAAAGAUGCAAUUGCAUCGCUAGUAGAUGGACCUGCGUUGUAUUAGCUAGUAGGUAGGGUAAAGGCCUACCUAGGCAACGAUACAUAGCCGACCUGAGAGGGUGAUCGGCCACACCGGGACUGAGACACGGCCCAGACUCCUACGGGAGGCAGCAGUAGGGAAUCUUCGGCAAUGGGGGGAACCCUGACCGAGCAACGCCGCGUGAGUGAAGAAGGUUUUCGGAUCGUAAAGCUCUGUUGUUAAGGAAGAACGAGUGUGAGAAUGGAAAGUUCAU
rnacentral:rRNA from 1 species